UAGCGCUUGCUAAAAAUAAAGUCGCAACUGGAUUAGUUUAGUAGCUUCUUUUAAGUGAAAAACUGAUAGACAAAAAUAAG
rnacentral:sRNA from 12 species